CUACGGGGCGCUGCAGUGAGGAAUAUUGCACAAUGGGGGGAACCCUGAUGCAGCAACGCCGCGUGGAGGAUGACGCAUUUCGAUGUGUAAACUCCUUUUAUAUGUCAAGAAAAUGACGGUAGCAUAUGAAUAAGCACCGGCUAACUCCGUGCCAGCAGCCGCGGUAAUACGGAGGGUGCAAGCGUUACGCGGAAUCACUGGGCGUAAAGGACGCGUAGGCGGGUUGGAAAGUCAGGUGUGAAAUACUACAGCUUAACUGUAGAACUGCACUUGAAACUUCUAAUCUAGAGUAUGGGAGGGGGAGAUGGAAUUAGUGGUGUAGGGGUAAAAUCCGUAGAUAUCACUAGGAAUACCUAAAGCGAAGGCGAUCUCCUGGAACAUUACUGACGCUAAGGCGUGAAAGCGUGGGGAGCAAACAGGAUUAGAUACCCCAGUAGUC
rnacentral:rRNA from 1 species